AAAAUCCUCUUUUAACGUUUCAUAAUGUAUAGUUCCUUUCUCACCUUCAAUUCCUUUCAAAAUUGAAACAGAGGGCCCUUAUAUACAUAUUGCCACCAAAAAUGCACCAACUAUGCACCAAGAAUUUGACCUAAAUUCUACUUGUUUAUCUGACCUAAAUUGCCACCAAAUAUGCACCAAAAAUGCACCAACCUAUUUAUACAUAAUAAAAUACUACUUAAACUAACACAUGCUAAAAGGCUAUGACCUCUAUGAAAUCAGAUACAUUACAAACUACUGAUAACUAUACUAGCU
rnacentral:lncRNA from 1 species